rnacentral:rRNA from 1 species
GGACAGAAAGACCCUAUGAAGCUUUACUGUAGUUUGGAAUUGGGUUCGGGCUCUUCUUGCGCAGCCUAGGUGGGAGGCUAUGAAGAUAAACUUUUGGGUUUAUUGGAGCCAACAGUGAGAGACCACUCUAGAGGAGCUAGAAUUCUAAUGGCGUUCCUUGAAGCAGGACGCUUGACAGUUUCAGAUGGGCAGUUUGACUGGGGCGGUCACCUCCUAAAAGGUAACGGAGGUGUGCAAAGGUUCCCUCAGGCUGGACGGAAAUCAGCCGUAGGGUGUAAAGGCAGAAGGGAGCUUGACUGCAAGACCUACAAGUCGAGCAGGGGCGAAAGCCGGCCUUAGUGAUCCGACGGUUCCGAGUGGAAGGGCCGUCGCUAAACGGAUAAAAGUUACUCUAGGGAUAACAGGCUGA